CCACGCUGUAAACGUUGGGCACUAGUUGUGGGGGCUUUUGUUGGUUUCCGCGACGUAGCUAACGCAUUAAGUGCCCCGCCUGGGGAGUACGGCCGCAAGGCUAAAACUCAAAGGAAUUGACGGGGACCCGCACAAGCGGCGGAGCAUGCGGAUUAAUUCGAUGCAACGCGAAGAACCUUACCAAGGCUUGACAUGCACCAGGCGACCUUAGAGAUAGGGUUUCCCUUUGUGGCUGGUGUGCAGGUGGUGCAUGGUUGU
rnacentral:rRNA from 1 species